rnacentral:rRNA from 1 species
AUGCAUGUCUAAGUAUAAGCAAUUAUACCGUGAAACUGCGAAUGGAUGCUCGCUGAAGUUAUCGUUUAUUUGAUAGUACCUUACUACUUGGAUAACCGAUGCGCUCGUAGAGCUAAUACAUGCUAAAAACCCCAACUUCGGGAACAAUGGCUUUAUUAGAUAAAAAACCAACGCCCUUCGGGGCUUCUUGGUGAUUCAUAAUAACUUUACGGAUCGCAUGGCCUUGCGCCGGCGACGGUUCAUUCAAAUUUCUGCCCUAUCAACUUUCGAUGGUAAGGUAUUGGCUUACCAUGGUUUCAACGGGUAACGGGGAAUUAGGGUAUGCUGCCUCGUAGGGAGCCUGAGAAACGGCUACCACAUCCAAGGAAGGCAGCAGGCGCGCAAAUUACCCAAUCCCGACACGGGGAGGUAGUGACAAUAAUAGGCUCGUCCGUGAUAGUCGUCAUGCUCGCUCCUCGCUGAUAGUCGCUCGUAGAUGCUGCUCGUAGAUAUGGCUCGCCUCGUAUGCUCGCUGAUGAUAGUGCUCGCUCGCUGAUAGAUAG